GACGAACUGUCCUAACGUUGUUCGGAAUCACUGGGCUUAAAGGGCGCGUAGGCGGUCCGACAAGUCAGGGGUGAAAUCCUGCAGCUUAACUGCAGAGGUGCCUUUGAUACUGUCGGUCUGGAGGGAGAUAGGGGUGUGCGGAACUUCCAGUGGAGCGGUGAAAUGCGUUGAUAUUGGAAGGAACGCCGGAGGCGAAAGCGGCGCACUGGAUCUCUUCUGACGCUGAGGCGCGAAAGCUAGGGGAGCAAACAGG
rnacentral:rRNA from 1 species